rnacentral:lncRNA from 1 species
UUUCAAGAAUUUAAUACUUACUUAUAUGAUUGACUAUAAAGAAAAUAUAGCAACAUGCAGAAAUUAAUCCAAACAAAAAGAGAGAAAUUGCAGAGAAGUUCCAAGUGUUUUUAAAUGAAAAAAAAAAAGUACAAACACAAUUUUUAAAAUCACAGCCUUCUCUCCUCUCCUUCCCCCUUCCUCCUCUCUUUUCCUUCCCCCUUCCUCCUCUCUCCACCAGAUUUGUUACUUAAGGGCCAACACUACUCCAGAGUUACCUAACCACUCAAUAUCCUACAAAAUGUUAGGGAAGUGAGUAAUAUAAGAGAAGACUGUCAUCUCAUUCAGUACAAACAGCAUCCAUAUCAUUGUUUUUACUAUUAACAGAAAUUAGAAUCUAAGUUCCUAAGAUCCUAAACUCCUACCUAAGAGGUAGAGUUCCUUCAAAUAUCCAAGAUGUCUCUUUCUGUUGUUCAUUCUAUGACAGACCAAGUUGGACCAUCCUGGGCAGGGCCCUCUUCCCACCUUAGACUUUAUGUUCUUACAACUUUUCAAAGACAGCCCCUCUUAGUGGCAAUUACUUGAAACCAGGGAGACCCCUUCUAACCCUAGAAAGAACAAACAAGAAAUGAAUUUUUUUUCACACUUAAAGAUGUAGACAAUGAGUUUGUGAAGUGCAAGCAAGAUUUAUAUCUUUUAUUUCCACAUUAUUGAGACCAGAAAAAAGGUACGUAAGUAGAAAUGUAGGAGGAUGCCCAUUCACAAAAAGUCAUAUCCUGCAUAGAGAGGUAAACACAUGAGAAAUGUGAUGUGCCAAUCAAUGAAGCCACGAAUAUUUACUGAGUGCCCAAGGUGCAUGAGGCACUGGGAGCUGGGAGGUACUGAGGAAGUCGUUUAAAGAAACACAUUUCUUGACAUAAUAACAUCUCACGGUAGUAUAAAAAGUCCCCUUGGCAAAUCAUCAAUGGCCUUAUAAGUAAGUGGCACUACAAAACUGAAUUGCCAGGUAAUCAUGCACUUUGCCCCGUCUGAUAUCAUGGGCAGGCUGCAUCACACCACAGUAAUUAGAGCCAGGGAACAAACAGUAGACAAUGGGCUCCAGGCAGGGAUCAAAAGGUCCUCACUGCUGUGCAGCAUGCCAAGGGAGAACUCAGCAGGCAAUCUAGAGGCAAAGGUAUUAGCAAAAGAUAUUGGUUACAAAAGUAUAAAAAUGUUUCAAAAAUUCUAAAACCUGCUGGGCAGAUGCAGAAUUUGUGCCUCAGCAUCUCAGCUACUUUUGUAAUGAUGAGUAUUUCCUACAACACAGAAAUUUCGGCUGGUGUUCUGUAUGGAUAACCUGCAUCCCAGCAAAAAGAACAGAAAAAGAAAACAUAACUCUUACCAUCUCUUAUCUAUGGACAUUCGUGAUCCAACUUAGUGAGAUUUAUUAAAUAGCCAAUCACUGUAUUUAAUAGCUGUGCCCGUAUCUCAAAGCUCAAAUCAUGUGCUAAUAAUAGAGUUGAGAAGGUAGAAUAGCAAAGGGCUUUUAAGGUGCUGCUCUAGCAUAUAUUGGAUAAAUCCUGCACAACUGAUGGUCACAAUGAAAAAUGAAAGCAUAUAUAUAUAUAUACACACACCAAGACCACAGUAUAUCCUACAAGUUUGAAAGAGUCAUUUCUCAGAAAGCUUUUAACUGUCACUGAGAUGUCAUCCUAGCCUGAUCAUAGGAUCUAGAAAUGAAAGAGAUCUUAAGAGUUGUCAUCCACGCCAUCGUCUUCCACUCCUUGGCCCAUGUUGCCGUGGAAGAAAUGGAUGCUCAUCGGUAUUCAAUGGUUUGCCCAGAGUCACAUGGGUCCUUAAGUAGCAGAGCAUAAAUUGACAUUCAAAGGUGUUUGCUGUCAUGUACAAUGCUCCUACAGCUAGGCUGCAUUGCUUCUCAGUAAUCACACUUCCUCCUUUGGCAAGCUUGCUAACCCCAGUUCUCAUAAGUAAUGCUGCUCAUAAGUUUUGCUUUUGAGAAGGUUGUGAGUUUGCAAUGAGUCUUGUUGAAUUAAAUUGAAUUGAAAUCUGUCCCUUGAGAAUACUACUUCUCAGUCCCAACUUACAAAAUUGAAUAAAUAUACAACUGUGAGAUUUGGGUUCCUGCCAAAUGUUAGAAUCAUCUAAUAAGGUUGUUUUCUAUGCUUGUUUUUUAUUUUUUUAAAUUUGUUUAGGUUCAUGAAGGGCUCAACUAUUGGAGUCAACUCUUUGGUUGGGGGUUAUAAAAUAACACCCCUGGCUCACCAUAAAUUCUAAAUAUUCGGUAUGGCUUUUGGGCCAGACAACACUGAGUUCUUUGCUUUGUGGACCCAUCAAAAUAGGAGCUAAUAUUUUGGGAUUAAAUGAUCUCUAAGGUCCUUCCAGCUGUAAAUACUAUGAUUGCUUUCAGAACGACUUUGUUGAUAGCAAAGUCCUUCUAAACUGGUGAAAUGGAGUAAUAAAAAACCAAGCUUGAAGACAGGGAAAGCUCUCCAGGCUUCCCCCCCAAUAUAUUAAAAUUGAUU